AACGAACGCUGGCGGCAGGCUUAACACAUGCAAGUCGAACGGUUGUAGCAAUACAGCAGUGGCGCACGGGUGAGUAACGCGUGGAUAUCUGCCUUUUGGUUCGGAAUAACUCCGGGAAACUGGAGCUAAUACCGGAUGGUUCCUGCGGGAUAAAGAUUUAUCGCCAAAAGAUGAGUCCGCGUACGAUUAGCUAGUUGGUGAGGUAAUGGCUCACCAAGGCGACGAUCGUUAGCUGGUCUGAGAGGACGAUCAGCCACACUGGGACUGAGACACGGCCCAGACUCCUACGGGAGGCAGCAGUGGGGAAUAUUGGACAAUGGGGGCAACCCUGAUCCAGCCAUGCCGCGUGAGUGAUGAAGGCCUUCGGGUUGUAAAGCUCUUUGGUCGGGACGAGUGAUGACGGUACCCGCAGAAUAAGCCCCGGCUAACUUCGUGCCAGCAGCCGCGGUAAU
rnacentral:rRNA from 1 species